UAAGGAAUAUUGGUCAAUGGAGGCAACUCUGAACCAGCCAUGCCGCGUGCAGGAAGACAGCCCUCUGGGUCGUAAACUGCUUUUAUUCGGGAAUAAACCUACUUACGUGUAAGUAGCUGAAUGUACCGAAGGAAUAAGGAUCGGCUAACUCCGUGCCAGCAGCCGCGGUAAUACGGAGGAUCCAAGCGUUAUCCGGAUUUAUUGGGUUUAAAGGGUGCGUAGGCGGCUUAUUAAGUCAGGGGUGAAAGACGGUGGCUCAACCAUCGCAGUGCCCUUGAUACUGAUGAGCUUGAAUACACUAGAGGUAGGCGGAAUGUGACAAGUAGCGGUGAAAUGCAUAGAUAUGUCACAGAACACCGAUUGCGAAGGCAGCUUACUAUGGUGUUAUUGACGCUGAGGCACGAAAGCGUGGGGAUCAAACAGGAUUAGAUACCCCCGUAGUCC
rnacentral:rRNA from 1 species